rfam:Dracunculus medinensis genome assembly, scaffold: DME_scaffold0000063
CAAACGGUCCUCUUUAGGACCACUAAUCUUCAUGAAACAAACUUUUU